rnacentral:rRNA from 1 species
GAUGAACGCUAGCUACAGGCUUAACACAUGCAAGUCGAGGGGAAACGACAUCGAAAGCUUGCUUUUGAUGGGCGUCGACCGGCGCACGGGUGAGUAACGCGUAUCCAACCUGCCCAUCACUUGGGGAUAACCUUGCGAAAGUAAGACUAGUACCCAAUGAUAUCUCUAGAAGACAUCUGAAAGAGAUUAAAGAUUUAUCGGUGAUGGAUGGGGAUGCGUCUGAUUAGCUUGUUGGCGGGGUAACGGCCCACCAAGGCAACGAUCAGUAGGGGUUCUGAGAGGAAGGUCCCCCACAUUGGAACUGAGACACGGUCCAAACUCCUACGGGAGGCAGCAGUGAGGAAGAUUGGUCAAUGGGCGAGAGCCUGAACCAGCCAAGUAGCGUGCAGGAAGACGGCCCUAUGGGUUGUAAACUGCUUUUAUAAGGGAAUAAAGUGAGAGUCGUGACUCUUUUUGUAUGUACCUGAUGAAUAAGGACCGGCUAAUUCCGUG